rnacentral:tRNA from 1 species
GCGGCCGUGGCGGAAUUGGCAGACGCGCAGGCUUCAGGUGCCUGUGUCCUUCGGGACGUGGAGGUUCGACUCCUCUCGGCCGCA